CCUACGGGUGGCAGCAGUGGGGAAUUUUGGACAAUGGGCGCAAGCCUGAUCCAGCCAUUCCGCGUGAGUGAAGAAGGCCUUCGGGUUGUAAAGCUCUUUCGCAAGGGAAGAAAACUUAUCCUCUAACAUAGGAUGAGGUUGACGGUACCUUGAUAAGAAGCACCGGCUAACUACGUGCCAGCAGCCGCGGUAAUACGUAGGGUGCGUGCGUGAAGUGGAGUGACUGGGGGUAAAUUUGGAGGAGGGAUGUGAAAGCCCCGAGCUCAACUUGGGAACUGCGUUUGAAACUACAAGACUAGAAUAGGUCAGAGGGGGGUAGAAUUCCACGUGUAGCAGUGAAAUGCGUAGAGAUGUGGAGGAAUAUCAAUGGCGAAGGCAGCCCCCUGGGAUCAUAUUGACGCUCAUGCACGAAAGCGUGGGGAGCAAACAGGAUUAGAUACCCGAGUAGUC
rnacentral:rRNA from 1 species